CAGUCGCCGCGGGAAUACGAAGGGGGCUAGCGUUGUUCGGAAUUACUGGGCGUAAAGCGUGCGUAGGCGGCUUCUUAAGUCGGAUGUGAAAUCCCUGAGCUUAACUUAGGAAUUGCAUUCGAUACUGGGAAGCUAGAGUAUGGGAGAGGAUGGUAGAAUUCCAGGUGUAGCGGUGAAAUGCGUAGAGAUCUGGAGGAAUACCGAUGGCGAAGGCAGCCAUCUGGCCUAAUACUGACGCUGAGGUACGAAAGCAUGGGGAGCAAACAGGAUUAGAUACCCGCGUAGUCCCUGUCUCUUAUAA
rnacentral:rRNA from 1 species